AGGGAAUAUUGCUUAAUGGGCGAAAGCCUGAAGCAGCAACGCCGCGUGAACGAAGAAGGCCUUCGGGUCGUAAAGUUCUUUUACGUGGGAUGAGGAAGGACAGUACCACGAGAAUAAGUCUCGGCUAACUACGUGCCAGCAGCCGCGGUAAAACGUAGGAGACGAGCGUUAUCCGGAUUUACUGGGCGUAAAGCGCGUGUAGGAGGCGCUACAAGUUGGAUGUGAAAGCUCCCGGCUUAACUGGGAGAGGUCGUUCAAGACUGUAGAGCUAGAGUGAGGCAGAGGUAGAUGGAACUCCGGGAGUAGUGGUGAAAUGCGUAGAUAUCCGGAAGAACACCAGAGGCGAAAGCGAUCUACUGGACCUAAACUGACACUGAGACGCGAAAGCCAGGGUAGCAAACGG
rnacentral:rRNA from 1 species